ACGACCUUACUUGAACAGGAUCUGUUCUAUAGGCUCGUACCACUGUAUCCUUGAGUUCUAAGGAGACGGAAAAAAAAAAAGGCAUA
rnacentral:snoRNA from 1 species